UUAUGUGUAGAUAGCGGGUACCA
rnacentral:siRNA from 1 species